GACAGAGGGUGCAAGCGUUGUCCGGAAUUAUUGGGCGUAAAGAGCUCGUAGGCGGUCUGUCGCGUCGGCUGUGAAAACCCGGGGCUCAACCCCGGGCCUGCAGUCGAUACGGGCAGACUAGAGUGCGGUAGGGGAGACUGGAAUUCCUGGUGUAGCGGUGAAAUGCGCAGAUAUCAGGAGGAACACCGGUGGCGAAGGCGGGUCUCUGGGCCGUAACUGACGCUGAGGAGCGAAAGCGUGGGGAGCGAACAGG
rnacentral:rRNA from 1 species